rnacentral:rRNA from 1 species
AACGAACGCUGGCGGCGUGCUUAACACAUGCAAGUCGAACGCGAAAGGGGACUUCGGUCCUGAGUAAAGUGGCGCACGGGUGAGUAACGCGUAGAUAACCUGUCUUCAUGUCUGGAAUAAUACGCCGAAAGGGGUACUAAUACCGGAUAUUCUUGCUUUUCAUAAGUUAUGCAAGCAAAGGUGGCCUCUGCAUAUGCUACUGCAUGAAGAGGGGUCUGCGUACCAUUAGCUAGUAGGUGGGGUAAUGGCCUACCUAGGCGACGAUGGUUAGCGGGUCUGAGAGGAUGAUCCGCCACACUGGCACUGGAACACGGGCCAGACUCCUACGGGAGGCAGCAGUGAGGAAUAUUGCGCAAUGGGGGAAACCCUGACGCAGCGACGCCGCGUGAGUGAGGAAGGCCUUCGGGUCGUAAAGCUCUGUCAAGAGGAAAGAAGUGUACAAUGGCUAAUACCUGUUGUAUUUGACGGUACCUCUAAAGGAAGCACCGGCUAACUCCGUGCCAGCCGCGGC